rnacentral:rRNA from 1 species
GUGCAGCAGUCGAGAAUUUUUCUCAAUGGGGGCAACCCUGAAGGAGCGACGCCGCGUGGAGGAUGAAGGCUUUCGGGUCGUAAACUCCUGUCAUUUGAGAACAAGUGCCAACAAGUAACUACUGUUGGCUUGAUAGUAUCAGAAGAGGAAGGGACGGCUAACUCUGUGCCAGCAGCCGCGGUAAUACAGAGGUCCCAAGCGUUGUUCGGAUUCAUUGGGCGUAAAGGGUGCGUAGGUGGCGCCGUCAGUGGGGUGUGAAAUUCCGGAGCUUAACUCCGAAACUGCAUUCCAUACUGCGGUGCUUGAGGACUGGAGAGGAGACUGGAAUUCAUGGUGUAGCAGUGAAAUGCGUAGAGAUCAUGAGGAAGACCAGUGGCGAAAGGCGGGUCUCUGGACAGUUCCUGACACUGAGGCACGAAGGCUAGGGGAGCGAACGGGAUUAGAUAACCCCU